UACAGAGGUCUCAAGCGUUGUUCGGAUUCAUUGGGCGUAAAGGGUGCGUAGGCGGCGCGGUAAGUCGGGUGUGAAAUCUCGGAGCUUAACUCCGAAACUGCAUUCGAUACUGCCGUGCUUGAGGACUGGAGAGGAGACUGGAAUUCCCGGUGUAGCGGUGAAAUGUGUAGAGAUCGGGAGGAACACCGGUGGCGAAGGCGGCCCUCUGGACGGUGACUGACGCUGAGACGCGAAAGCGUGGGGAGCAAACAGG
rnacentral:rRNA from 1 species